rnacentral:SRP_RNA from 1 species
UUAUUAAACCAUUAGAACAAAAACCUUGUAACCUGGUCAGGUCAGAAAUGAAGCAGCCAUAUCAAGAAGUGUUGUGUCUAGUGGCUUUUUUAUAAAA